GUGGUCCAUACAUCUUCCCCAGUCCACCGGGCCGACUGUGGAGCUCUGCAGGGCGGAAACGCAGAGCGACAGCCUGGAAGGAGCCGGGGCUGCUGAGUCGCCCGGCAGGACGCUACCCUCCGAACACCCAGGUGAACUGUCAGUGAACAAGAGGGAAGCUUUUACUGACCUGAGGGGCUCACUCACACGGCUGCAACCGAGUCCGGCUGUCGGCAGGAAGCUUCCUCCCCCCACAGGACGGGAUCACUGCCCUCACAGCACCACGUCUUGCUUCCCCCAGAACAAGCAGGUCCAGAAACCGAGGAGAAGCAGCAUUUUUUGACCAGCACUGUAGCUGCCCCAUGGUGCCGCAGGGAACCCUACAGGAUCUGAGAAGCUUCACAGGGAUUUGCCAGUAGGAACGGAGGUGGGGCAGAUGCGAGAAGCUACAUGUCCCCUACCUCAGGUUUGUAAGGGAUGCUGGGACCUGCGUUCAUGUCC